UAAACCAAUAGACGAAAACUAGUUAUGAAACUAGACUAUACACUAUUUAUGAAACUGGAGUAAGAACUAGACAAUAUUUAUGAAACAUGACCAAUAACUAGGCACUAUUUAUGAAAGUGGACCAAUAACUAGACAUUAUUUAUGAAACUGAAUCAAGAAAGAGAUACUAUUAAUGAAAAUGUACCAAUUACUAUACAUUACUUAUGAAACUUGAUCCAAUAAUUAGGCAUUAUUUAUGAAACAUGAUGAAACUGGACUCAAUAACUAUGCAUUAUUUAUGAAACAUGAUCAAGAACUAAACACUAUUUAUGAAAGUGGACAAAAAACUAUGCACUAUUUAUGAAAUUGGACCAAUAAAUAGUAUAGUACCUUUUAGUUUCAUAAAUAGUUUCAAUUUCAUAAAUAGUGUUCAGUUUCAUAAAUAGUAUUCAGUUUUAUAAACAGUGUAUAGGUCCUGCAUUGGCGUCAAAUUUUUUUAUUUUUAUUUUUUAGUUGUGUCCUUUUCAUUAAAAAUUAAGUUUUUUUUGUCAUUUUUUUAUUAAAAUUUAAGGACUUUUCAUUAAAUUUUAAUUCUUUUUCAUUAAAUAAAAUUAUAGUAUGAUUUUUUUUAUUAAAAUAAACUUAGCCCAAAUAUUUUUCAUUAAAAUUCCCUUAUUUUAAAGAGUGAAAUGAUCAAAUUAAGCUCAUGUGGGUGCACAAGCAUCUCAGGGUAGGGUUAUGUGUAGUUAAGAAGAGAGACGUGGGGUAGAAAUAGACGUGGGAUGGAAAUGUUUUGAUGAUAUAUGGGUGAGAAGAGAAAUGAAAAUUUAGUGUUGAAAUAGUAAAUGGUAAAUUGUGCUUUUGUGAGAGAUGUGUGAUAUUCAUAUUCUAUUUUUUUACUUUUUAUAUAUCAAUUUAAUUUUUUAUAAUUUAAUCGAUCCAACGAUCAUAAUAAUACAAUGAAAGAUGGGUGUGAAAAGACAGUGUACUUACUCCCUUAUAAUUCAUUCAGACAAGUUUUAUUAAAGUAGAUAAGAUAUAUGUUAAAUCAAUUAGUCUAUAGACGUCUAUACCGCCUACUCCAUCCAUUUUAUGUCAAAUCAACAUAUCACUUCACUUACUCUCUCUCCCAAAAAUCUUUAGUAAUACUUACCAUUAGAUGCUACAAUGAAUGUGCAUGCGUGUGCAAUCUAACGGCUGCAGAAAUUUUCCACAUUGGAAGAGCAAAAGCCGGUGAACGUGCUAAUAGCAGGUAAAAACAUG
rnacentral:lncRNA from 1 species